GGGCGGUUAGCUCAGCGGGAGAGCACUCGGUUUACACCCGAGGGGUCACUGGUUCGAUCCCAGUACCGCCCA
rnacentral:tRNA from 1 species